AAUCAACGCUGGCGGCGUGCCUCAGACAUGCAAGUCGAACGCGAAAGUUCCCUUCGGGGGAUGAGUAGAGUGGCGCACGGGUGAGUAACACGUAGGUAAUCUACCUUUGGAUGGGGAAUAACAACCGGAAACGGUUGCUAAUACCGCAUAAUGCAGCGGCACCUAAUGGUGACAGUUGUUAAAGCGGGGGAUCGAAAGACCUCGCGUCUGAAGAGGAGCCUGCGGCGGAUAGCUAGUUGGUAAGGUAACGGCUUACCAAGGCGACGAUCCGUAGCCGGCCUGAGAGGGCGGUCGGCCACACUGACACUGACAUACGGGUCAGACUCCUACGGGAGGCAGCAGUCGGGAAUUUUGGGCAAUGGGCGAAAGCCUGACCCAGCAACGCCGCGUGAAGGAUGAAAUUCCC
rnacentral:rRNA from 1 species